rnacentral:rRNA from 1 species
UACGUAGGGGGCAAGCGUUGUCCGGAAUCAUUGGGCGUAAAGCGCGCGUAGGCGGCUCGGAAAGUCGGGCGUGAAAUGCCGGGGCUCAACCCCGGGACUGCGUCCGAUACUUCUGAGCUGGAGGUAGGUAGGGGAGAUCGGAAUUCCUGGUGUAGCGGUGAAAUGCGCAGAUAUCAGGAGGAACACCGGUGGCGAAGGCGGAUCUCUGGGCCUUACCUGACGCUGAGGCGCGAAAGCUAGGGGAGCGAACAGG